rnacentral:lncRNA from 1 species
AAUGGAAGGCAUGAAAUACAAGAGAUAAAGCAUCACAAACACAAAGAUGUAUAGUGGUUCGGUGCACCCCAGCACCUACAUCCACUCCCCAAGAUCUCUUGAGAAUUUCACUAUAAUCCCUUAGAUUACAGUCGGUUGUUUUACAAGCUCACAACCCAACUUGUUGUUUUGCGAGAUCACAUCCAACUCGGUCGGUUUUCACAGGCUCACCGACUAGAAUCAACCGAUUGUUUUCACGGGCUCACAAUCCAACCCAGUUGGUUUUCCCAAAGGCUCACCAACCACAACCUUACAAUGAUUGUUUUCCGGGUUCACAAUCAAGCAAGUCACUGACGAGUGGAUAGACAUCCAAGUGACUUCUUGUCUUGGUCACGCUCAGUACCCUUGUUC